rnacentral:rRNA from 1 species
UACGUAGGGGGCUAGCGUUGUCCGGAAUCAUUGGGCGUAAAGAGCGUGUAGGCGGCCCGGUAAGUCCGCUGUAAAAGUCAAAGGCUCAACCUUUGAAUGUCAGUGGAUACUGCCGGGCUAGAGUCCGGAAGAGGCGAGUGGAACUCCUGGUGUAGCGGUGGAAUGCGCAGAUAUCAGGAAGAACACCAACGGCGAAGGCAGCUCGCUAGGACGGUACUGACGCUGAGACGCGAAAGCGUGGGGAGCAACAGG